rnacentral:rRNA from 1 species
AUGAAGGAGUUGUGUGGGAUGGAGCAGCAAGAAUCCAUCAACAUAACAGCUGCCAUGGAGGCUCUAUGCCCCUUGCUGAAUAACCCGCGGAGAACCAUCCACCAGGCGGAGGCUUUCACGUCGGGGAUCAUACUGCUGCUGCUCCUGCAGCUCAUCCUCGGCUCCUUCAGACGGCAGUCGGCCAGCUUCUUGGUCCAAGCUGGCACCUGGGUGACCUACACCGUGUCGUUCCCAGCCAUCGCCUACACCCUGGGCUUGAUGCAGUCCUCUCCGGUGAAGAAUGUCAUGUACCCCAUCUGGGCCGUCUCACUGCUGAUGGCCGCCGGGUGCACUAACGCCGUCAAGGUCUACGAGCUCAACGACAACAGGCAAUGGAAGCGGGGUUUGUUCAACAGCCUCCAGUAUGGCACGUACGCUUCUUUAAUCUGUUGGCUACUUUUCCCCUAUAGCAUGAGCAUAAAGGGGUAUCUCGGCCCAGCCGUUCUAUCACAGGCCUACUUUGCACAUAUCUUGUCUCCUGCAUAUGUCGUCACUCUUCUGGGCUCCUUUGUUCUGAAUACGGGACUUAUGGGCAAAGAGCUUGCAUGCGUGUUGGUUGAGCUCGGGUAUUUCAGGGCCAGGAGAGUUGCCAAGUUCAUGAAGAACCUGCCUGCUGAUGAUGGUGAUGGGUUCGAUCCUGCCAGGAUGAAAGGUUACAAGUACCCUGUUCACAUUUUUGGUGUCGGUGGUGAGCUCACCAUCGACCAAAUCUGGCUCUGUGAAGGCAGGCUCCUCAGCUCAGGUACUGUUCACAGCAAGGAGCUCAAGGACUUGUGCCUGGCUAAAUCGAUGUAUCAGUUACUGAAGCGGCGCUACUAUGGGAUGUCAUUCGCCGAGGAGCACCUUGAUGAAACCCGUGAUUUUGUCUUCAGGGGGUUGCUACGGACAGAAGGUGACUAUGAGCGAGCUUUCCGGAUUGUCGAAAUGGAGUUAGGGUUCUGCCAUGACUACUUCUUUACUAAACAUGCCAUCAUCUUUGAGCUGGAGACACUAUUCUUCUUUCUCUUCCUUGUGAGGAUUGCUCUGAUUGCCACAUGUGUAUCCUUUGUCGUGAAGGGUACACUAUCUGUCAAGACACUCAGCCCUAUCAUUGAAGUGCACAGCAAAAAGACUGACGGCAUCAUCACUCUCCUUGUUUUGGCCAUAUUCCUGCUCGUAGAAAUCCUUCAAACUGCAUUUUAUUUGGCCUCGGAUUGGUGCAAGGUGUCAGUUACUUGUAGGUAUGUCAAAACAUCUUGGUAUCAACGCAAUGCUUUCAUCGAGAAGCUUAUCGGCUAUAUUAGCAGAUUUACAAUACUCGGGUACUGGAAGAAUAAUAUUGGCCAGUACUCGAUAAUUCCGCACAUCACCGCCGCUGAUUCAUCUAGGGACAGUCGCACAGUAAACAGGCUGCAAACAGUCAAGCGGGCUAUUGCAAGGUCACUAAUAGCAUGCGACGGUCCACCAACAAAUGGAGAAGGGUCAUUCCGGAGGAGUGGUGACGGGGAAUACUUGAAUGGGACAACUGAAAAUGAGCAUGACACAAAUUUCAACAGGAAUGUUUCAGUCAGCCUGUCAAGAUACUGCGCAUACCUGAUGAACUGUGCUCCAGAAUUGCUUCCAGGAUACUUUGGAGACACAAAGUUGGCCAUGGCUGAUGUUAUGAAUGGUUUACAAGACCAAGAGGAAGACGGGAGCAUCUUCCUGAGAGGUGUGAAGCUUGGAAAGCAGCUAGAGGACAAGCCGAGCAGUGCUGCUCGUUGGAAGAUACUUGCAGAUUUCUGGGCUGAGAAGAUCCUCUACAUCGCACCAUCUGAUAAUGCGAAAGGGCACAUGGAACUUCUCGCAAAAGGAGGGGAGCUUCUCACCCACAUCUGGGUGCACGCGUACACGUCCGCCUCCUUGGCCCACUUCGCCGCCGUCUUUCCGAUGUACGAGCCGCCGGAUCCAUCCCUAGUCUCUUCUCCGGCUGCGGUACUGCCACCAUCGCCGAUGCGGACCCCGCCUCCCUCACAACCAUGGGACAUCGACAUGGCGGGCGAGGUGGCGUGGCUAUUGGCUAAAGCAUCUUGUCACGAAGGCGCAAAUCGACAUGCACCGCGCCGACGAAGCCCUCAUGGCGCAAAUGGGCGGCGACCUAGAGUCCAAGACUACAUGCAGAAGCAGCUCGUCAUCGACCGCUCCUUCGAGUCGCUCCGGGACGACGAGGAAAAAAGGGAGGAGAUGCAGCCUCCCCCGGCUCCGGCUCCGGCUUUGCCUAAGUUGUGGAUGGUGGACGCGCUCCUAAAGUUUCACGACGUCUUUAGGUCGCUUCCUCCCGGCGAGCAGGAGAAGAUCUUGCAGGAUCUGAGCCAGGAGAUGCAGCCGCCACCGGCUCCGGCAGCUCCUCCAUCCGUUGUCCCGCGAGGCGCUGACUGCGGCUACGGCAACGAGGACAUCAUCGAACGGCCUGGCUACGGUUGUGGCUACGGCCUGGAGUUCGCCGGCGCGAACGAGUUCAGCGUCACGGAGCAGCCCCGUGUGUAUUGGCGCGCAACCGUCGAUGACGUCAUCUUGACGUGCCGCUGA